rnacentral:rRNA from 1 species
UCGAUUCCCUUAGUAGCGGCGAGCGAAACGGGAAGAGCCCAAACCAACAAGCUUGCUUGUUGGGGUUGUAGGACACUCUAUACGGAGUUACAAAGGACGACAUUAGACGAAUCAUCUGGAAAGAUGAAUCAAAGAAGGUAAUAAUCCUGUAGUCGAAAAUGUUGUCUCUCUUGAGUGGAUCCUGAGUACGACGGAGCACGUGAAAUUCCGUCGGAAUCUGGGAGGACCAUCUCCUAAGGCUAAAUACUCUCUAGUGACCGAUAGUGAACCAGUACCGUGAGGGAAAGGUGAAAAGCACCCCGGAAGGGGAGUGAAAUAGAACCUGAAACCGUGUGCUUACAAGUAGUCAGAGCCCGUUAAUGGGUGAUGGCGUGCCUUUUGUAGAAUGAACCGGCGAGUUACGAUUUGAUGCAAGGUUAAGCAGUAAAUGUGGAGCCGUAGCGAAAGCGAGUCUGAAUAGGGCGUUUAGUAUUUGGUCGUAGACCCGAAACCAGGUGAUCUACCCUUGGUCAGGUUGAAGUUCAGGUAACACUGAAUGGAGGACCGAACCGACUUACGUUGAAAAGUGAGCGGAUGAACUGAGGGUAGCGGAGAAAUUCCAAUCGAACCUGGAGAUAGCUGGUUCUCUCCGAAAUAGCUUUAGGGCUAGCCUCAAGUGAUGAUUAUUGGAGGUAGAGCACUGUUUGGACGAGGGGCCCCUCUCGGGUUACCGAAUUCAGACAAACUCCGAAUGCCAAUUAAUUUAACUUGGGAGUCAGAACAUGGGUGAUAAGGUCCGUGUUCGAAAGGGAAACAGCCCAGACCACCAGCUAAGGUCCCAAAAUAUAUGUUAAGUGGAAAAGGAUGUGGCGUUGCCCAGACAACUAGGAUGUUGGCUUAGAAGCAGCCAUCAUUUAAAGAGUGCGUAAUAGCUCACUAGUCGAGUGACACUGCGCCGAAAAUGUACCGGGGCUAAACAUAUUACCGAAGCUGUGGAUUGUCCUUUGGACAAUGGUAGGAGAGCGUUCUAAGGGCGUUGAAGCAUGAUCGUAAGGACAUGUGGAGCGCUUAGAAGUGAGAAUGCCGGUGUGAGUAGCGAAAGACGGGUGAGAAUCCCGUCCACCGAUUGACUAAGGUUUCCAGAGGAAGGCUCGUCCGCUCUGGGUUAGUCGGGUCCUAAGCUGAGGCCGACAGGCGUAGGCGAUGGAUAACAGGUUGAUAUUCCUGUACCACCUAUAAUCGUUUUAAUCGAUGGGGGGACGCAGUAGGAUAGGCGAAGCGUGCGAUUGGAUUGCACGUCUAAGCAGUAAGGCUGAGUAUUAGGCAAAUCCGGUACUCGUUAAGGCUGAGCUGUGAUGGGGAGAAGACAUUGUGUCUUCGAGUCGUUGAUUUCACACUGCCGAGAAAAGCCUCUAGAUAGAAAAUAGGUGCCCGUACCGCAAACCGACACAGGUAGUCAAGAUGAGAAUUCUAAGGUGAGCGAGCGAACUCUCGUUAAGGAACUCGGCAAAAUGACCCCGUAACUUCGGGAGAAGGGGUGCUCUUUAGGGUUAACGCCCAGAAGAGCCGCAGUGAAUAGGCCCAAGCGACUGUUUAUCAAAAACACAGGUCUCUGCUAAACCGUAAGGUGAUGUAUAGGGGCUGACGCCUGCCCGGUGCUGGAAGGUUAAGAGGAGUGGUUAGCUUCUGCGAAGCUACGAAUCGAAGCCCCAGUAAACGGCGGCCGUAACUAUAACGGUCCUAAGGUAGCGAAAUUCCUUGUCGGGUAAGUUCCGACCCGCACGAAAGGCGUAACGAUUUGGGCACUGUCUCAACGAGAGACUCGGUGAAAUCAUAGUACCUGUGAAGAUGCAGGUUACCCGCGACAGGACGGAAAGACCCCGUGGAGCUUUACUGUAGCCUGAUAUUGAAAUUCGGCACAGCUUGUACAGGAUAGGUAGGAGCCUUUGAAACGUGAGCGCUAGCUUACGUGGAGGCGCUGGUGGGAUACUACCCUAGCUGUGUUGGCUUUCUAACCCGCACCACUUAUCGUGGUGGGAGACAGUGUCAGGCGGGCAGUUUGACUGGGGCGGUCGCCUCCUAAAAGGUAACGGAGGCGCUCAAAGGUUCCCUCAGAAUGGUUGGAAAUCAUUCAUAGAGUGUAAAGGCAUAAGGGAGCUUGACUGCGAGACCUACAAGUCGAGCAGGGUCGAAAGACGGACUUAGUGAUCCGGUGGUUCCGCAUGGAAGGGCCAUCGCUCAACGGAUAAAAGCUACCCCGGGGAUAACAGGCUUAUCUCCCCCAAGAGUUCACAUCGACGGGGAGGUUUGGCACCUCGAUGUCGGCUCAUCGCAUCCUGGGGCUGUAGUCGGUCCCAAGGGUUGGGCUGUUCGCCCAUUAAAGCGGUACGCGAGCUGGGUUCAGAACGUCGUGAGACAGUUCGGUCCCUAUCCGUCGUGGGCGUAGGAAAUUUGAGAGGAGCUGUCCUUAGUACGAGAGGACCGGGAUGGACAUACCUCUGGUGUACCAGUUGUCGUGCCAACGGCAUAGCUGGGUAGCUAUGUGUGGACGGGAUAAGUGCUGAAAGCAUCUAAGCAUGAAGCCCCCCUCAAGAUGAGAU